UACAGAGGGUGCGAGCGUUAAUCGGAAUUACUGGGCGUAAAGCGUGCGUAGACGGUUAUUUAAGUCGGAUGUGAAAGCCCCGGGCUCAACCUGGGAAUUGCAUUCGAGACUGAAUAGCUAGGGUGCGGUAGAGGGAAGCGGAAUUUCCGGUGUAGCGGUGAAAUGCGUAGAUAUCGGAAGGAACAUCAGUGGCGAAAGCGGUUUCCUGGACCAGCACCGACGUUCAGGCACGAAAGCGUGGGGAGCAAACAGG
rnacentral:rRNA from 1 species